rnacentral:rRNA from 1 species
CCUACGGGUGGCAGCAGUAGGGAAUUUUCGGCAAUGGGGGGAACCCUGACCGAGCAACGCCGCGUGAAGGAAGAAGGAAUUCGUUCUGUAAACUUCUGUUAUAAAGGAAGAAAGACGGAUGGAGGAAAUGACAUCAGAGUGACGGUACUUUAUGAGAAAGCCACGGCUAACUACGUGCAAGCAGCCGCGGUAAUACGUAGGUGGAAAGCGUUAUCCGGAAUUAUUGGGGGAAAAGAGGGAGCAGGCGGCAGCAAAGGUCUGUGGGGAAAGACGGAAGUUUAACUUCAGUAAGCCAUAGAAACCGGGCAGCUAGAGUGCAGGAGAGGAUCGUGGAAUUCCAAGUGUAGCGGUGAAAUGCGUAGAUAUAUGGAGGAACAUCAGGGGCGAAGGCGACGAUCUGGACUGUAACUGACGCUCAGGCCCGAAAGCGUGGGGAGCAAAUAGGAUUAGAUACCCGGGUAGUC